GGACCGGAGUGAACGCACCACUGGUGUUCGGGUUGUCAUGCCAAUGGCAUUGCCCGGUAGCUAAGUGCGGACAAGUUAAGCGCUGAAAGCUUCUAAGCGCGAAACUUGCCUCAAGAUGAGUCUUCCCUGGGCCUUUAUGGCCCCGGUAGGAACGUUUAAGACUAAGACGUUGAGAGGCUGGGUGUGUAAGUGCAGCGAUGCAUUGUGCUAACCAGUACUAAUGAUCCGUGAGGCUUAACCUU
rnacentral:rRNA from 1 species